rnacentral:hammerhead_ribozyme from 1 species
GCAUUGCUGAGGAGUCCCGCAACAGGACGAAACGAUUGUCCUGUGU